rnacentral:rRNA from 1 species
UACGGAGGGAGCUAGCGUUGUUCGGAAUUACUGGGCGUAAAGGGCUCGUAGGCGGCCAACUAAGUCAGACGUGAAAUCCCUCGGCUUAACCGGGGAACUGCGUCUGAUACUGGAUGGCUUGAGAUUGGGAGAGGGAUGCGGAAUUCCAGGUGUAGCGGUGAAAUGCGUAGAUAUCUGGAGGAACACCGGUGGCGAAGGCGGCAUCCUGGACCAACACUGACACUGAGGAGCGAAAGCCAGGGGAGCAAACGGG